CAGCAGCCGCGGUAAUACGGAGGGCGCGAGCGUUACCCGGAUUUACUGGGCGUAAAGGGCGUGUAGGCGGCCUGGGGCGUCCCAUGUGAAGGGCCACGGCUCAACCGUGGAGGAGCGUGGGAUACGCUCAGGCUAGAGGGUGGGAGAGGGUGGUGGAAUUCCCGGAGUAGCGGUGAAAUGCGCAGAUACCGGGAGGAACGCCGAUGGCGAAGGCAGCCACCUGGUCCACUUCUGACGCUGAGGCGCGAAAGCGUGGGGAGCAAACCGGAUUAGAUACCCCCGUAGUCCCUGUCUCUUAUAC
rnacentral:rRNA from 1 species